rnacentral:rRNA from 1 species
AUUGAACGCUGGCGGCAGGCCUAACACAUGCAAGUCGAACGAGUGGCGGACGGGUGAUUAAUGUCUGUGAACCUGCCUGAUGGAGGGGUACACCUACGGGAAACGGUAGCUAAUACCGCCUACCACCAGCUGUCCCCAGAUGGGAUUAGCUAGUUGGUGGGGUAAUGGCUCACCAAGGCGACGAUCCCUAGCUGGUCUGAGAGGAUGACCAGCCACACUGGAACUGAGACACGGUCCAGACUCCUACGGGAGGCAGCAGUGGGGAAUAUUGCACAAUGGGCGCAAGCCUGAUGCAGCCAUGCCGCGUGUAUGAAGAAGGCCUUCGGGUUGUAAAGUACUUUCAGCGGGGAGGCGUUACCCGCAGAAGAAGCACCGGCUAACUCCGUGCCAGCAGCCGCGGUAAUAC